GUGGGGAAUUUUGGACAAUGGGCGAAAGCCUGAUCCAGCCAUGCCGCGUGCAGGAUGAAGGCCUUCGGGUUGUAAACUGCUUUUGUACGGAACGAAAAGACUCCUUCUAAUAAAGGGGGUCCAUGACGGUACCGUAAGAAUAAGCACCGGCUAACUACGUGCCAGCAGCCGCGGUAAUACGUAGGGUGCAAGCGUUAAUCGGAAUUACUGGGCGUAAAGCGUGCGCAGGCGGCGUUGUAAGACGGAUGUGAAAUCCCCGGGCUCAACCUGGGAACUGCAUUUGUGACUGUAUAGCUAGAGUACGGUAGAGGGGGAUGGAAUUCCGCGUGUAGCAGUGAAAUGCGUAGAUAUGCGGAGGAACACCGAUGGCGAAGGCAAUCCCCUGGACCUGUACUGACGCUCAUGCACGAAAGCGUGGGGAGCAAACAGGAUUAGAAACCCGUGUAGUCC
rnacentral:rRNA from 1 species